UUCGACCCGUGACAAGCACGACAUGCACGACAUGAAGGAGUAGCCCAUGCAUCCACCACCCCACCCAGCCAUCAUCGACACCGAUCCGCCCAUUCCCUUCACCGGCGAGGAGAUCGGCAGCGCCGCCCACGAGAAACAUAUGCCCAGCGUGCGCGCCGUCGCCGUCGAUCCCGAUCGCGGAUUGGUGCUGCUCAACCUGGUCGGCGCUGACGCCUCGGUCUCGGCAGUGAUUAUGGAGUUGCUCAGGAGCAAGAGCAACGGCGUCGGCUUUAUGCCCACCCUCUUUGGCAGCCAACCGAACAACAUCCCGACGCAGCUCAGCAUCCAGCCCGGUAUCCGCUAUACCACCUUCCGCAGCGCGCUCGCCACGCCUGGCGGCUCGCUGAGAGUGAAGAACUGGUGUAUGCUGAUCAGCACUGCCAACAUCACCGAGCGCCGCCGGCGCGCACCACUCAUCCCGACGCAACUGCUGCCACCCCCACCGGCAACCGCCGAUGUAGCGUCUGUCAUGCCGACCAACCAGCCACCCGCCGCGCCGCCCCCACACUACGUCAUCGGCGCGGCAACUGUCACGACCCCUGAUGCCCACGCCCUGCUGGGGCAUCUGCGCGCGAUCGGCGUGGUGAUCGCCGAUGCGUGGGCUGAGGCGGUGCGCGAUCUCGCACUCGACGCACAGCUCGCCACGUCAAUGCCUGCCGCCGGCGUCACAUGCUGGCGCAUCGACGGCGACCUGGCGAAGUGGGUCGACCUGGUCAGGCACGGCAUCCAAUCCCAGCGUUUCUCAAUCCCCGUACCGACAGCUGUUCACCAGCAACGUGCGGCAUAGCCGCAUUUCAGCUCGUGCAUAUCCAAUCCUUGGGAGGCGAAGACGGCGGACGGUGGACGACAAUCCAUCGUCCGCCGUCUUUCGUCUUUCGUCUUUUGUCUUUCGUCCAUCACACAAGGAGUACACCCAUGGCCUACGGAACACUCCCCAACAUCGCCAAUGCCGGGCAUGAGCCCACGCCCGACGAACGGGCUGCGCAGAUCGCCCGCAACCUGCUCAAACUCCCGCGUAGCCACUUCACGGUCGUCGACGGCACCUGCGGCGAGGGCAACCUGCUGGCGCCCUUCCAGGGCAACGCCCAUGCCGAACUGAUCGGUAUCGAGAUCAACGGCAAAUGGGCCGAACUCGCCGCGCAGCGGCUGCCCCAGGCCCAGAUCAUCACUGCGGCCGUCGAGCACGUUAGCGUUGCCCCAAAUAGCAUAAGCCUGGCGAUCCUCAACCCGCCGUAUCUCGUCACCAACGGUGGCCGCAUGGAAUUGCAGGUGUUUCGCCAGCUGUGCGACGCCGUCCAGCCGCAUGGCGUGAUAGGGUGCAUCAUUCCCGCCCGCAGCGCUUGGGAUCGGCGCUUCAUCAGCGCCUGGGCACGUCGCUGCUAUGAUGUCCGCGCCU
rnacentral:misc_RNA from 1 species